CAGAGUCGGGGCCCCCCCCACUAUCCCGGGGCCCCCCAAAAUCCCCAGUGCCGCCCCUCCCCCCCCCAUGGCACCUUAGCGGCAUCGCAGCGACAUUCCAGCGGGGGGAGGGGCGGGCGUGCAAGGCGGGCGUGCAAGGGGCCGGGGGGAGGGGCCGGGGGUGGCAGUGAGCGUGUAAGGGGGGGGUGUGUGCAAUGUGAGUGUGCAAGGGGGGUGUUUGUGCAAUGUGAGCGUGCAAAGGGGGGUGUUUGUGCAAUGUGAGCGUGCAAAGGGGGUGUUUGUGCAAUGUGAGCGUGCAAGAGGGGUGUUUGUGCAAUGUGAGCGUGCAAAGGGGGGUGUUUGUGCAAUGUGAGUGUGCAAGGGGGGUGUUUGUGCAAUUCUGAGUGUGCAAGGGGGGUGUUUGUGCAAUGUGAGCGUGCAAAAGAGGUGUUUGUGCAAUGUGAGCGUGCAAAGGGGCGUGCAAAGGAUUCUCCUUGAGCAGUUGUGAGUGUGCAAACGGGUCCCCGUGCAAUUCUGAGCGUGCAAGGCCCCCCCUCGUGCAAUUCUGAGUGUGCAAGGCCCCCCCCGUGCAAAUCUGAGUGUGCAAACGGGUCCCCCGUGCAAUUCUGAGCGUGCAAGGCCCCCCCCUCAUGCAAUGGUGAGUGUGCAAGGCCCCCCUCGUGCAAGGCCCGGCUCUGGGGGCGAUCCUCGUGCAAACCCCCCCUUGCACACCCCCCCGCCCCCCUUGC